UACGUAGGGUGCGAGCGUUGUCCGGAAUUAUUGGGCGUAAAGAGCGCGCAGGCGGUCGUUCAAGUCGCGUGUGAAAGCCCCCCGGCUCAACUGGGGAGGGUCACGCGAUACUGAUCGACUCGAAGGCAGGAGAGGGUAGUGGAAUUCCCGGUGUAGUGGUGAAAUGCGUAGAUAUCGGGAGGAACACCAGUGGCGAAGGGCGAACUACCUGGC
rnacentral:rRNA from 1 species